rnacentral:rRNA from 1 species
CCUACGGGAGACAGCAGUGGGGAAUAUUGCACAAUGGGGGAAACCCUGAUGCAGCGACGCCGCGUGAGUGAAGAAGUAUUUCGGUAUGUAAAGCUCUAUCAUCAGGGACGAAAAUGACGGUACCUGAUUAAGAAGCACCGGCUAACUACGUGCCAGCAGCCGCGGUAAUACGUAGGGUGCAAGCGUUAUCCGGAUUUACUGGGUGUAAAGGGAGCGUAGGCGGGAGAACAAGUCUGGAGUGAAAUGCCAGGGCUUAACCACGGAACUGCUUUGGAAACUGUGCAGCUAGCGUGUAGGAGAGGUAAGUGGAAUUCCUGGUGUAGCGGUGAAAUGCGUAGAUAUCAAGAGGAACACUCGUGGCGAAGGCGACUUACUGGACUGUAACUGACGUUGAGGCUCGAAAGCGUGGGGAGCAAACAGGAUUAGAUACCCCAGUAGUC